rnacentral:rRNA from 1 species
GAUGAACGCUAGCGGGAGGCUUAACACAUGCAAGUCGUGGGGCAGCACGGGGUAGCAAUACUCUGGUGGCGACCGGCGCACGGGUGAGUAACGCGUAUGCAACCUACCCAGUACAGGGGGAUAGCCCGGAGAAAUUCGGAUUAAUACCCCAUAAUGAUAUUAAGAGGCAUCUUUUAAUAUUUAAAGCUUCGGCGGUACUGGAUGGGCAUGCGUGAGAUUAGCUAGUUGGUAGGGUAACGGCCUACCAAGGCUCCGAUCUUUAGGGGUCCUGAGAGGGUGAUCCCCCACACUGGUACUGAGACACGGACCAGACUCCUACGGGAGGCAGCAGUGAGGAAUAUUGGUCAAUGGGCGCAAGCCUGAACCAGCCAUCCCGCGUGAAGGAAGAAGGCGCUAUGCGUUGUAAACUUCUUUUCCGGAGGAAUAAAAUCUUGUACGCGUACAGGACUGAAGGUACUCCGGGAAUAAGCAUCGGCUAACUCCGUGCCAGCCGCCGCAGUAACAC